rnacentral:rRNA from 1 species
UACGUAGGGCGCAAGCGUUAUCCGGAAUUAUUGGGCGUAAAGAGCUCGUAGGCGGUUUGUCGCGUCUGCCGUGAAAGUCCGGGGCUCAACUCCGGAUCUGCGGUGGGUACGGGCAGACUAGAGUGAUGUAGGGGGGACUGGAAUUCCUGGUGUAGCGGUGAAAUGCGCAGAUAUCAGGAAGAACACCCGUGGCGAAGGCGGUUCUCUGGGACGGUACUGACGCUGAGACGCGAAAGCGUGGGGAGCGAACAGG